UUUGUGACAUACCUAUAACUGUUGCUUCGGCGGGUAGGGUCUCCGUGACCCUCCCGGCCUCCCGCCCCCGGGCGGGUCGGCGCCCGCCGGAGGAUAACCAAACUCUGAUUUAACGACGUUUCUUCUGAGUGGUACAAGCAAAUAAUCAAAACUUUUAACAACGGAUCUCUUGGUUCUGGCAUCGAUGAAGAACGCAGCGAAAUGCGAUAAGUAAUGUGAAUUGCAGAAUUCAGUGAAUCAUCGAAUCUUUGAACGCACAUUGCGCCCGCCAGCAUUCUGGCGGGCAUGCCUGUUCGAGCGUCAUUUCAACCCUCAAGCUCUGCUUGGUGUUGGGGCCCUACAGCUGAUGUAGGCCCUCAAAGGUAGUGGCGGACCCUCCCGGAGCCUCCUUUGCGUAGUAACUUUACGUCUCGCAUUGGGAUCCGGAGGGACUCUUGCCGUAAAACCCCCAAUUUUCCAAAGGUUGACCUCGGAUCAGGUAGGAAUACCCGCUGAACUUAAGCAUAUCAUGACGGGAAAGAAA
rnacentral:rRNA from 1 species